GUAUACAUGAAGAGAAAACCAAACGACAUAUCAGAUAUAACAGACUCGAGCAAUGCAAAAUUCCAACACUUAUCAGAUAAAUUAACAGAGUUGCUUGAAGAGUUAAAUGAGGAAUUCAACGACCAAUUUUUGUUCGACUGCGAAAGCGUUGGGACCGUUUCAGUUUGCGGAGACUCAUUUCUAUCGGACACAGAGAUCUAAGUUAUUCUUAUAAUAUUAAACUAAUUAACAAUUUCAAUUUUUGGUUUGAAAAUAACA